GCACCUUACAAAACCGGAAAUCUCGCAUAUAUUGGUACUGUCGCAAGACGAUGGCGCUGAAUCUCAACGCGGACAAUAAGUAGACCCGGGGGGCAGUACCCCGGCGCCUCCACCAGAAGCGGUUAGAUUGGAAGGUUUGAUCGUGAACCGUUUCUGAUGGGGGCGAAAUAGGUUCGAUGCUUGUUAUGAAGCCUUGAAGUGUGCCCGGCAUGAUACCGCCGUUAUCGGGUCAAAACCUAAAUGCAAACGAUAACGUUCGCAUGAAUGAAGUGCGCCUCGCGGCGUAACCAUUCGGGGUAGGUCCACCUAGCAACAGAACGGCCAUU
rnacentral:tmRNA from 1 species